GCAUCAGCAGGUGCAGCCACCAGGGGCAGUCCGCAUCCCCGCGGGGAGCGUCCUGGAGGGCGAGCAGGCAAGGAUAGACCGGCUGUCUUCCCUCCUCUUCGUCCCUCACAUACUCGGGCCUGUAGCACCACGUGAUUUUCUCCAUGAACCACUCCAAGAUUUUCUCUGAAGUUGCAGGUAUUAUCGAAAGCACGACCUCAAGGAUCAAGGCAGAGGAGAAGCAAGUCAGCAAGGAGGGAAAUCACAGAAGCUAUCAAGAACAAAGGCUUCUUAGUUUCCAUUACAUGUAUUGGUAUUAAAGUGUGUAGCCAGAAAAGGAAAUCCAAGUGCAGCAUCCUUACUUUAAUUAGAAGAGGUAAUAAGAACAUGGAUCUUGGUGCGUGGAGUCCACUCUUCAGGUACCAAUGUUGCAGUAGGUAGGAUCACAAGCUAGGAUGAAGGAGCUAUGCAGAGAUCCAAUCAUAACAAAUAGUGGACAGAGGAGAAGAGGCUAACAUGGAAUUAGACGAUGGAUCUUCCAAGAUUCCUCAGGGGCCAUUAAAGCAUGGCUUGGUUUCUUGCCCAUAUAAGACAAUAAUAUUGAAGCAUAAGAUGUACAUGAUCAGCUUUAUUCAAUGGUGAUGAGAUUUUGCAUUUGUCGAGGUAGGUUCUGACUUAUGCGACAGCGGUUGGUGGCGCCCAGAGGGUUCCGCGGCUGGUAGCGCUGGCGGUUCAAAGUCGCGUAGGCGGUGCAUCCACCGGCGCUCUACUUCUUUGUCGGAAGGAGCCGCUGACAGCACCGCCAGGCGUUAUCCCGUCGGCUGGUUCGCCGUGUGGAGGCCACGCCAGGUGAGCUUAAGGAUGCCGUGCCAGGUGCAGAUUUCAGAGCUAAGGGGUUCCCAAACUCCCUAGAUGUCGAUUUUGGACCUUUUUGUUUUUGUAGUCAGUUUAUGCCUUUAAUUUCUUGAACCAUAGGUGUUUGAGUUUUGAUGUUCUGCAGCCAACAAGUGUUGCCUUUGCUAUAGCGACAUUGUUCAUCCUAUAUCAUUGAGUGAAUACAACAGUCUCCGUGUCUUGGACUAUUGCAUCAGAUUUUAGUGUGUGUAUGCAAUCCAAGAAUACCCCGUCCUUCACGUCUGAUUUUGCAUUGCUUGAUCUGUCAAGGGAAUAAAAAAUACAAGAUUUGUUAAUGUGGAGAAGAAAAAAGGAUCAAGAAAGGUUAAGUUAUCCUUUCUGCAUAUCAUUUAAUAAAAUCCCUAUAUUGUUCUAAGAAAUUGAUCUAUAAAUGAUGCAUUUGUGCCAUCUAAUUUAAAGUUCUUAGCUGCAUGGAGGUGACAACACUUCUGAGAUAUUUGCGCUGGUUAACAAAGUAAAGUUCACCUAUCUCAUAUUCUUGCUAAUGGGUUACUAUUCGAGCACUAACUAUAGCCACUGUUGAGAUACCUCCAUAUGUUUGCCCUAUUGCUAUCUUUAUUACUUCCUUGCUAUCUUGCAUUAUUCAGCAGAUGUAAUAUAUUGGCAAUCACUAAAGAUAUGUACCAAUUUAAAAGUAGGUACACACUUAGGGACUCUGUUUCCAUAAGCAAUUGAAGAAAUGACUAUGUUUUUUCGCAGAAGAAUUAAAAUCUGUUAUAGUUUCCUUGCUGGUGCUUACGAAAUGUAGAAUUUCAUGUACCUCCAAUAGUGCAUGAGUUGACGAAAUGAGCAUACCUGCAAUAUCAGAGAAGAACUUAAUAAAACAGCUUCUCGAACUAUGGUUAUUCUGCAUCCUUUAAAGGAAAGCCUGGAGAUGAAAGAUAGCUUUCGUGUCUUCACAUGUCCAUGACGCAGCUCUUCUUUCAGAUGUUGCAGACACCGGCAUCUACCAUGGAGCUAUUCAUUUUGGUCAUGUCAUUGUACAUCAGCAGCCCGCAAUAAGCUGGGACUGCCUCCCUUGUGUGGGGAUCAGUCAUCUUCUCCUUCACCAGAUUCAUUGGCGUCGCCACGGACAAGAUCUGCUCUUUGUCCUUCCAUGUUUUGCGCAGAUUUAUGUGAUGGAUUUUGGCAAUGAAACAUCAAUUAUGUCCUUGCCAGUGCCGUAAAUGAACCGAGAAACUACAGUAGGUAUGGAUGCAGUAUUUGUACUCCAGCUGAUCAGAGGUCUGAUGAAUCUUGCUGGUGAUUUUGGUUAAAUUUGCUUUGCUAUCAGUGUUAGAUGGAGAAGGUAAUUUUU